rnacentral:lncRNA from 1 species
GAAAUCCACAUCCCGAAGAGGACGACCAGAAAUAAUCAAAGACCAAGCUUCCGCCGACCCAAAUAAACUUAUACCAUCACCAUGAAAAGCACUGUGAUUGUAACGCUUACGAUAUGCUGUCUUUUAUACCAAACAACUAGGGCGGCAUCGUUAACCAACAGAGACGGACUCUCAAGACAAGACAUCCUAGAUCUUCUUCAGCUCUAUGAAGAACCAAUAAGACAAGAGGGUGGCGACAAGAGGUCAAAAGGUUGCGGGAGUUUUAGUGGUUGUAUGCAAAUGGAAGUGGCAAAGAACCGAGUGGCUGCUCUUUUAAGAAACAGUAACGCCCAUCUUUUUGGUCUAAAUGGACCCGGCAAGAGACGACGAUCGGUCGACGAUCUUCCCCAGGUCAACGACGCAGAGACGGAGUAGAUUCAACAGCGCCAUCUAGAGUUCAUCACACCUUGUUUUUGUCCUCCUUCCAGCCUUCUUCUUUCUCUAUUUCCCUGACCACCUAUGCCCCCCCCCCCAUCUCUCUUUCUCUCUCCCUUUUUUUUCUUCUCUCUCUCCCCCUCUCUCUUCAAGGCUCUGUCGAGAUCCCAAAGCUAGGGGAGUCCCCACUGUGAUCAUCUCGCCAAGCAUAUCUUUGUCCAGCUGACAAUAUCGGACUCGGGCCCUAACCACUCGGUACAAAUGAUGAUUGCCUUCUUUAGGACUCAGUACGGAUAGAAAAUUUAAGAGAUUAAUAUGUUUUGUGUUAUCAAUAAUGAUGGAGGUCUUUAGAAGUAAAACCUAUGAGGUUAAUAUAUGCAUUUGCAAUGAAAAUGUAUUUAAAACAAUUUUAAAGUUCAUUUUGAACUUUUUGUUAACGAUUUGAAGUGAGAAUCAUUAUGGGAUUCGUUAAAUGAGCAAGACCUUUGAUAAGUGUGAAAAUAAUGAAAACUAAAAUGGGGUGAAACUGAAAGCCGCUAGGAUGGAUAUCCAACUAUGAGCCACCCCUUAAAAACAAAAUAUCGUUAAUUUUCACCGAAUUCGACCCUUUUUACAUUUAAUUGUCAGUUGUUAUAUCAUCAAAAUUUCUUCAUAUUCACGUGAAUUCUAUUUAAAUACAGAUUAUUGCUUGUAUACUGAUAUACAUUAAUGUUUUAGAUGAAAUCAAUUCUGAAGUUAUUCAAAAAGGGAGCUCUUAUUAAACUCGCACACUUAUAGCAACUUUAUGUUCACAUUUCCUUAAAACUGUUUGAUAAAUAGUUCGCUCUCAUGAAUUCAAAAGCAAUUAAAUCAGCAUUGUCGUAGAAAAUAAAUCGAAGGAAAUAUGAAAUUUGUCAUUUUUUCUUUCGUAAUAUCCCAAUUUCUCAACUGCCUCUGCCAAAACCAACCCAAUUUAAAAGAGUUCCAUCCUGAAGUGCAAUAAAACUGUAAUCACAUUUGCCUCAAUGGAAAAACAAUUCACCUCAAAAUGCCCAUUAUUACAAGGAAACAGGUUUUGAUGUAUGAACUUCAGACAUUUUAUAUAUUUUUCUUCUUUUUUUCUCCAUUGAGUGGUAUUAAAUUGUAAACGCUCAUACAAAUAUUAUCGAAUACAUUUUGUUGAAUUUACAACUUAACCUCGCUUGCAAUCUUAUACGGUAUUUGACAUUUAUUUUUAACGGCAGUUGUUAGUUGGGGAUGACCGAAUUUUGAGGACAUUGGAAUUAAUUAUCCUUAUUUAUCGAAAGAGUUACAUAGCGAAUCACGAUGAACUUGUUGCCUCUCGCAUUAUAUAUUUAUAUAAUUAGAAUGAAAGAUUUACCAAAACAAUCCCCUCAUCCGUCAAAGGAGGAGAAAAAAAUAUUGUUCUGUUAUUGAAUCUUGUCCAAGGUUAUUGAAUAUUUUCUUUCGCCGUGUCUUUGUUCCCAGCAUGCAGCAGGCAGUGAAGUUCAAAGGUCAUGCAUAAUUCAUGAACUGUGACGUACUAGGUCCUCAAAAUCGGUGAUUUCUGACCUUUCAUUCCAUUUUAAAACGCUGACAGCCUAUUUUGAAAGAUAUGUCCAAAUAUUGAACACAUUUUAAGGGUUUAUAAUUAUUUGUACUUUUGACCUUUUAAAUGACAACCUACUGUUGGAGGCUCCGUGCAAUUAAGACUAAGGAAGAAUUUUCUGUAAAUAUUGGAUAUAUAGGCCUAUAUAUAAUAUGCAUCUACUUAUUAAUCUUUGCUUUGCAUUAUGUUUGUAAAUAAGAUAUUCAUUUCCUAGAUGACCAAUUGUUAGCAUCUUUCCAAAUCAUUUCAUAUAAAAAAAGCUUCGAUUUUCAUCUUCUUGCACAGUUUGCUAUUAUCACAAAUGUUUCAUGUAGCACGACUGAUGGAGUUACCUUUUAUUGUAAAUUAUAUAGAACAUUUUCAAUUUUUAAGAAGUGUAUUAAAUGAAUCUGAUUCCUCUGAGAAAUGCGAAAUAUCUGAUCUCUCAUUUUUAAUUAAUGGAUUUUGGGUUAAUUCUUUUUGACAUUUUCAAUAUACAUUAACAGUCUAUACUAAGCGUUAUGUUUUGUAUUGAACUGAUAGUGUCCAAUGAGUAUCAUUCCAUACUGAAAAAAUUAAGAAAAAACACGAUUCAUGAUUACCUUUACGUAUCACAAAGUAAUUAAUCAAUAUUAUACAUUGACUCCUAAUGCACUCGUUGAUGUUUACUUUAUUAUAUGCUGACGUACUCUAUAGAAUUAGACGAGCUUUGUUCAUUUAUUAUUCUUUGCAAGAAUUUCCACCGUUGAUGAAAAUUAAUGGAAUUAAAAUGCUUUAUUUCACUAUCA